AUGGUAAACCUGGGGUUUAGUGCGAGAUGGAGGGAUUGGAUCGACAUGUUGCUCGCCUCCUCUUCGCCGGCCUUCCUCCUCAAUGGCGUCCCUGGCCAAACUAUCUAGCAUCGGUGUGGACUACGCCAGGGUGACCCACUGUCGCCG
rnacentral:rRNA from 1 species